rnacentral:rRNA from 1 species
UGAUUCCCUAGUAACUGCAAGUGAAGAGGGACAAGCUCAAAUUUUAAAUCUGUCGGGUUUUACCUGAUCGAGUUGUAAUUUGAAGAAGCGUUUUCUGCGUAUUUGGUCAGCCCAAGUCCUAUUGAAUGAGGCAUCAUGGAGGGUGAUAAUCCCGUCCGGUUGAUCAUUGCGUUUUAUGAUACGCUUUCUAAGAGUCAAGUUGUUUGGGAUUGCAGCUUAAAAUGGGAGGUAAAUUUCUCCUAAGGCUAA